ensembl:lncRNA
AGCAGUUCCAUGGAGGUCUGGAAACCUGAGCUCCGCCUGAGCCGGUAUCUGCUGCCACUCAGGACUGUGCUCUGAACUUGUAAGGGAAGACAGAGAUCACACCGCACGGCCUCUCUGCUCUGAUGGACAUGGAGCAUGAAGGUAAGAAGCCGCACCUUGGACCACUGUGUUGGACAUGGCACAGGUCUCAAGAUCACAAUAAUGUCCAUUCUUCAGGAACCAGCUAGAACUCCACCUCCUCCAAGAAGCCCUCCCUGACUUGGAACCCUUCUUGGGGACCCUGAGAACUCAUCCUAGCAACUACAGAUCCAAAAGCCUCCUGCAGACUGGUCUCUGGGCACCCUGCUGUGGCUCGGCGAAGGGGGCUGACAGGGGACACGGGUGGCCUCAGGUUUCCAGAGUCCACUUUCCUUCCGCACCCCUUGCAUCCUGUCAGCUUUCUGAUCAGAGCCUGACUCUGGAGCAUUCUCUCUGCCUUGGCCUCCGGGCCUACAACCUCCAGACCCCACUGGGCUCUCAGCGUAAACAGAAGCGAGGAGAAUAAUAAGGGUCGCAGGCCUUAGCAGGAGCUGGUGAUUACAGGAGGCGGAAUACAAACAAGGCCUUCACAGAGCCAGGUCUGAGGGCGCCCUGCUCUGCUCUCCACAUCCCCAGAACUUCCCAGGGCCCCCACUCUGCACCCCCAGCCCCUCAGGGGUGGGUCCUGCCUUUCUGCAAGCACCACGCCCCACAGAUGGGUCACAUCAGCUGUAGGACUUGGGCCCUGCUGGCAUCCACAUCCGCCACACAGUUUAGGGUGGCAGCGAGCUCAGCUGAAAGCCUGCAGUGCCAUGUUGGGCUCCUUUGGGGUGCACCCUCCAUUCUCUGAGCCUCAGUUUCCCCAUCGGUCAUGAGGGGGUGGACCAGGUGAUUUCCUAAGGCCAUUCCUCCCCCACGCGACGGAGAUGCUAUGAUUCAAGUAAAGAGGCCACCUUCACAGCUCCACCC